GACGAAGGGGGCAAGCGUUGUUCGGAAUUACUGGGCGUAAAGGGCGCGUAGGCGGUUCUUUAAGUCAGGCGUGAAAGCCCUGGGCUCAACCUGGGAGUGGCGCUUGAUACUGGAGGACUAGAGAGUGGGAGAGGUUGGUGGAAUUCCCAGUGUAGAGGUGAAAUGUGUUGAUAUCGGUGGGAACGCCAGUGGCGAAAGCGGCAAACUUGACCCUUCCUGACGCUGAGGCGCGAAAGCUAGGGGAGCAAACGGG
rnacentral:rRNA from 1 species